GCUUGGCCGAGGCCGGGCCCAGGCUUAAGUAAGGCCCCGCUGGAGCGCGGUCGGAAGCCUCCGCCUGCGGGAUGCGGCGCGCACGCAGCCGAGGGGAGAGGAAGCGGGUCGCUGGCAACCCUUGCAAUGGCUUAGUUGCUCCUUCCGAAGCGGCAGCCCCGAGUCUAUGCGGGCUUACUCAGAAGGAAGCCUCCCCUGGCACACACGCAUAUAUACGGAGAGGGUCGCCGGUUCUCCCAUCGUGGUCUAGCCUAACCCAGCGGGGGCUUCCUUUUGAGCAAGCACGGGUGUAUUUACAGUACACACAGAGAGAGCCGGUGCAAGGCUGUUUUGCGCCCAAGGCAAGGCUAACUGCUCGCACCCCCUCAUACUGGUAACCUCAGUUUUCAAAAACAGAUGUCUUGUAGGAGAAAUGAAAAUAUUAUCAGAAAGUUGUAACAAAAACUAAUUUGUAUAAAGCUGGCUCUCAAAUGUCAGUACUGCACCUCUCUGAGGUCUGCACCCUAGGCGGGUGCUCAGCAACAAAAAUAAAAUCAGUUUAAAACUAUGCAGUCGCAGGUGUCUGUUGCUGGACUCGUCUUACCAGCGCCAGCCAGCCCUGUCUGUGAAUUUGAAAUGGUGGGAGUUGCAGCUCAGUAACAUCUGGAGACCUGCAGAUCCCAUGCUCCUGAAUUAGGCUUGAGACCAAGAGGGCCUAGAUUUGAAGCCUUGCAAUCUUAUGCCUUUGUUUACUCUGCAUUUAAUCUGUAAAAUUUAUUCCUUUUUAUUGUGACAAUAUUUACUUCUCAAACAAGGUCUUCUGGACUCUACACAAAACCAUUGAAAAGUGCACUCAGAGCAUGUAUCUUCUCUGCUGAUAGGGUUUAGCUUGCUUCUGGGUUUUGUAUAUGCACGUAUGUGAGAGCUUAUCUUCAUUUAUUUAUGUAAAUGGUUUAGUUGCUAACAUUACUGCAAAUACUGAUGGCAAAUAAACAGUUGUGUUGUGUCGGUAUUAUUAUUAGCACUCUUAGCAUCAUACGGUAACUCUUUCGAGGAUAGACAUGCUAGUCUCUUGCAGCAAAGACUAACACAUUCAUAAUGGCAGAAGAUUUCACUGAGUACAGUCGUCAUUCUAGUAGCCACCUACAUCCCCCCACAAACUAUUUCAGGCUUGGUAUUUUGCAGGUGGGAUUAAGUUGCAUAUUCACAAACUGAGGUUCUACCAUUAAAGCUAUUGGAAAGGAUGAAACUCCAAGGAUUCCCACUAUAUUGUUACAGAGGGGCUUAUUUUGGACUUAGAAAUCAUCAACUGAUCUUAAUAAUAAGUAUAUGGACUAGAUCAGGUGUGGGGAAUCUUUG